AUCUUAAAAUAAUCGGACUUUCAUUUUGCUCAUGUUAGGAUGAGGUUCUCCUCCUGUUCCUAACAUGACCUUGUUUUAAUUGUUUGAAGGGGUUAUCCCCAAUCGUAUCAAGUCCAUGCCAAAAGGGAAAGACAUGCAAAGUCGAAAGGAAUUUUGAUUCAAAGCAAAGUCGUGAGUAGUACAUGUACAAGUUUCUCGAGU
rnacentral:lncRNA from 1 species